rnacentral:rRNA from 1 species
GACGAACGCUGGCGGCGUGCUUAACACAUGCAAGUCGAACGGAAAGGCCCUGCUUUUGUGGGGUGCUCGAGUGGCGAACGGGUGAGUAACACGUGAGUAACCUGCCCUUGACUUUGGGAUAACUUCAGGAAACUGGGGCUAAUACCGGAUAGGAGCUCCUGCUGCAUGGUGGGGGUUGGAAAGUUUCGGCGGUUGGGGAUGGACUCGCGGCUUAUCAGCUUGUUGGUGGGGUAGUGGCUUACCAAGGCUUUGACGGGUAGCCGGCCUGAGAGGGGGACCGGCGACAUUGGGACUGAGAGACGGCCCAGACUCCUACGGGAGGCAGCAGUGGGAAAUAUUGCACAAUGGGCGGAAGCCUGAUGCAGCAACGCCGCGUGCGGGAUGACGGCCUUCGGGUUGUAAACCGCUUUCGCCUGUGACGAAGCGUGAGUGACGGUAAUGGGUAAAGAAGCACCGGCUAACUACGUG